rnacentral:lncRNA from 1 species
CCAUGGUCGCGCUCAUCGCUCCCUCUCACAGUGCAUAGAAGCGCAAGCAUAUGUAUGCUCCCUCCGUACUGCUUAUAUUGCAGUGCUUUGACCUUUUCUUGUCCCAGUCUAAAAUAAUGUCGAUCGCCGCGCAUCUCCGAGCAGUCCAAUUAAUUUUUUACUUUCUAUGUCCAUCGCGAACCCGUUACUUUAAUCGAGCUCUAAACUAUUGUACACUUUAACAAACCGAAUCGUAGUUCACGGCCACGCCCCUUUCAAUUGUAUUAAAUCUUCGAAUAAUAAACGAAAAUAAUAAAAACUAAAUACGGAUAAUAAAUAUCGUAAAUGUGGAUUCAGAGUCGCCGAAAAUCUCGGCAGCUUCCAACACAAUGCGUUUUUAAAUAAUAAUUAAAUAUUUAUUAAUUAGACUAACAAUUAUUAAAACAAAAUUAUUUGUUUAAAUUUUAUGUAUAGAUAUUCAAUUUCGUUUCUCAAGAAAAAACACUUCUCCAUCUAAUAUUUGAUUCCAUUCUCAUGUAGAAUGCAAAAAGGCAAGGCGGGGCGAGCAAGGUGCUGCUCAACUGGUUGAGCUGAUAUACAUAAAUAUGUCGGCCACUUCAUUUCCAUCCAUGUUUUGAAUAAAUUCAUUCCAAACAGAUUGAGAUUUCUCAAUAGACUCCGCUUACAUAGAUUAAUUAAACGGACCUAAACGAAACCCUAUUCUAACAUAUUUUGUUGUUGUUCUUUUUUUGUAUUUUAUUUUAUUUUUAUUGUAUCCUUUUUUGCCGUUUCAUGGGCUCAAGCUCGUUGAGAAGCACUGUGGUCAUUUAUCUUUCAACUACAACGGCAUUGUGGCCAUUUUAUUGAGACUUUACUCUCUGUUUGCUAGGUACCCUCUCGGAAUAUAAAACAGAUCUAUAUUUGUCGAGCUGCUAGCAACAUACCAACGAUAACCAAAAAAUACUAUCGGCUGAUUUUCUAUAUUUAAUCGGCCAGUUUUUUUGUCGAUCUGAGUACUGCCUGGCGUACAGCCGCUAGAAAGUAGUUUGUGCGCGACAACAUUUCUUAUCGGUUCCAUACGAAUAUCAUCCCUGAUUUUUCUAGCGGCUUCUUUUACAAAUAUUUUUACAAACGGUUCCGGACCUCCAAAAUUUCAUCGAUGGAGCUAUUGCAACCGGUACUGCUUGUGGAGGGGGUCAAUUUUAAUUCAUGGGACACCAAUACCAUGGGGGAAAGAUUGUUGCUAGUGCUUUAGCAGUUUAUUCAUCAUUAAGACUUAAUGUAGCAAACAAAAAUUGUUAGUGUACAUGUUACCUUUAAUAUUUUAAUUUUACUUAAAGAAUCGGUCAGCUGUA